UGAAUGAUCCAUUGCACUAAUCAGGUUUAGCAGAGAUUACUUGGUAUAUUUACCAACAUCAAAAAUGGGAAGGGGCUAAUUCAAAAAACUGCCUGGUCACGUGACAAGACCAGUGUCUUAUAACGUGCAUCCAAGGGUCUCUACACCUGGUGGGAUAAGCAAGGGAUUGGUAGCAAACAGACGGGACACUGACCAGACAAGAACCUUACUCCAAGUGGAAUGAUCCUUGUGGUGUGAGGAUGUUAUGGAAGUGUGUUCAUGGAGUUCAGCAGGAUUGUGGGCAAGACCUUCAAGCAGGAAUUCUAUGAGAGCAUGGAUCGGCACAAUCCUUGUC